UUUCCAGACUCCUACGGGAGGCAGCAGUGGGGGAUAUUGCACAAUGGGGGAAACCCUGAUGCAGCGACGCCGCGUGGGUGAAGAAGCGCCUCGGCGCGUAAAGCCCUGUCAGCAGGGAAGAAAAUGACGGUACCUGAAGAAGAAGCCCCGGCUAACUACGUGCCAGCAGCCGCGGUAAUACGUAGGGGGCGAGCGUUAUCCGGAUUUAUUGGGCGUAAAGCGUGCGUAGGCGGCUUGUUAAGUCCAGAAUUAAAGCCCGAGGCUUAACCUCGGUUCGUUCUGGAUACUGGCAAGCUUGAGUAUGGUAGAGGCAAAUGGAAUUCCUAGUGUAGCGGUGAAAUGCGUAGAUAUUAGGAGGAACACCAGUGGCGAAGGCGAUUUGCUGGGCCAUCACUGACGCUGAGGUACGAAAGCGUGGGUAGCAAAUAGGAUUAGAUACCCCCGUACC
rnacentral:rRNA from 1 species